rnacentral:rRNA from 1 species
UUGAACGCUGGCAGCAGGCCUAACACAUGCAAGUCGAGCGCGAAAGUUCUUCGGAAUGAGUAAAGCGGCGGACGGGUGAGUAACGCGUGGGAAUCUGCCUGGUAGUGGGGGACAACGUUCGGAAACGAACGCUAAUACCGCAUACGCCCUACGGGGGAAAGGGGGGGGAUCUUCGGACCUCUCGCUAUCAGAUGAGCCCGCGUCGGAUUAGCUAGUUGGUGGGGUAAAGGCCUACCAAGGCGACGAUCCGUAACUGGUCUGAGAGGAUGAUCAGUCACACUGGAACUGAGACACGGUCCAGACUCCUACGGGAGGCAGCAGUGGGGAAUAUUGGACAAUGGGGGAAACCCUGAUCCAGCCAUGCCGCGUGUGUGAAGAAGGCCUUAGGGUUGUAAAGCACUUUCAGUGGGGAGAAAGGUUGUUUACUUAAUACGUAAGCAAAUUGAUGUUACCCACAGAAGAAGCACCGGCUAACUCCGUGCCAGCAGCCGCAGUAA